UACUUCUCGGGGUGUGGUUUUCUGUGAUCAGUCCAUGAGUAAAGACACUAACGACAACAUUUUAAUACAAAGUAUGUUUUGCACCGUUAUAAAUAAAGCUAUAAUUUACUUAAUAGUGAUGACUAUUUGCACAACGGGAGUAAUCCCAUGGAAACAAAACAUAUUUCGAAAAGUGUCCAGUAUUCCCGUGAUAGAGAAUGCUUGCGACCUCUGGAAAGGUGUUGUUUGGAGUCCGGUGGAUUGUUCUAAAACAUGUUUAAGUGAUGAACGAUGUGUUCUCUUCAUGCAUGAUAAAAACGGAACAUGUUCUACGUAUUGUAACAUCGGGACGGAGGUUGAAGCUGUGCAUGGAUAUUUUCAGACACAUGUCAGCGUGGUUUUAUGAAAUACAGAAACAGCUGUUACUGGUUUUCACCGAAAUCAGCGGGCGGAACAUGGGAUGAAGGCAAGGAAAAGGCCUAGAACAGAUGUCGACCCCCCCCCCCCCCCCCCAUGCCCAUAGAGCCUGUGGUCAUGUCUGAACACCCUGUGCAUGUAGAUGACGUGGACACGCCAGAUGUCAACCUCGUGCCCCUAGAGCCUGUGGUCAUGCCUGAACACCCUGUGCAUGUGGAUCAUGUUGACACGCCAGAUGUCGAUGCAUUACCUCUACCAAAGCAAGUUUCUCUGUGUGCACUUUCUUACCUAAUAACCUUGCUUUAUUAACGUGGGGGAACCCAUGCCGAUAUUUUCAUAGAAUAUCAUGUUGAAAGGUAAUCCGUUUCCAAUGAUUAUCUAAGACAUUGUUCGCUGAUACAUUGUCACGGGGAUCCUAUAAUACCCAUAACUGAAUGAA